rnacentral:rRNA from 1 species
AUACAUGCAAGUCGAGCGAAUCAAUAGGAGCUUGCUCCUGUUGGUUAGCGGCGGACGGGUGAGUAACACGUGGGCAACCUGCCUGUAAGACUGGGAUAACACCGGGAAACCGGUGCUAAUACCGGAUAAUCCUUUUCCUCUCAUGAGGGAAAGUUGAAAGUCGGUUUCGGCUGACACUUACAGAUGGGCCCGCGGCGCAUUAGCUAGUUGGUGAGGUAACGGCUCACCAAGGCGACGAUGCGUAGCCGACCUGAGAGGGUGAUCGGCCACACUGGGACUGAGACACGGCCCAGACUCCUACGGGAGGCAGCAGUAGGGAAUCUUCCACAAUGGACGAAAGUCUGAUGGAGCAACGCCGCGUGAGCGAUGAAGGCCUUCGGGUCGUAAAGCUCUGUUGUUAGGGAAGAACAAGUACCGGAGUAACUGCCGGUACCUUGACGGUACCUAACCAGAAAGCCACGGCUAACUACGUGCCAGCAGCCGCGGUAAUACGUAGGUGGCAAGCGUUGUCCGGAAUUAUUGGGCGUAAAGCGCGCGCAGGCGGUCCUUUAAGUCUGAUGUGAAAGCCCACGGCUCAAC